rnacentral:rRNA from 4 species
UCGCGCCUCGACAGCG